rnacentral:rRNA from 1 species
GACGAACGCUGGCGGCGUGCUUAACACAUGCAAGUCGAACGGUGAAGCGCCUUCCUUUUUGGUGGGUGUGGAUGAGUGGCGAACGGGUGAGUAACACGUGAGUAACCUGCCCCCUUCUUCUGGAUAACCGCAUGAAAGUGUGGCUAAUACGGGAUAUUCUGGGUCUGUCGCAUGAUGGGUCUGGGAAAGAUAUUGUUUCGGUGGGGGAUGGGCUCGCGGCCUAUCAGCUUGUUGGUGGGGUGAUGGCCUACCAAGGCGGUGACGGGUAGCCGGCCUGAGAGGGUGGACGGUCACACUGGGACUGAGACACGGCCCAGACUCCUACGGGAGGCAGCAGUGGAGAAUAUUGCACGAUGGGCGCAAGGCUGAUGCAGCGACGCCGCGUGAGGGAUGGAGGCCUUCGGGUUGUGAACCUCUUUCGCCAGUGAAGCAGGCCUGCCUCGUUUGUGGGUGGGUUGACGGUAGCUGGAUAAGAAGCGCCGGCUAACUACGUG